AGUCAUUCUAAUGUCAUUUUUAUAUAAUGGUCAUUACCAAGGCUUUGAGAAUUCAGUUUCUCAUUUGCUGUGGACAUGACCAUAAAAAAAUUCCCAUUAGGUUUUCUAUGUGCUACUUGGCUGGCAGUUAACCUGUUGGGGACAUUUUGUUUUGAUGAGUAAAUCUCUUCUCAGUUACUAAUGAUUGUUUCUGAGGUAGAUGGCCCUAGAAUGCUCAGCUGCUUACUCUUUCCAUGUUCUUGUCCUGCAGGGCUGAUAAUAAGUAACACUGGACUGAGCAUCCUUGGAAAGGAAAGAAAUCCUGAACCCAUGUGACCUGAAUGAAAAGCAGCAUAGAAUAAAUAUUUAUUUAAUAAAAAUUUAUUUGCAAUAAA